UCUGGGAAACGACCAAGUUAAUUACCAGCUGAAAUGAAGAUUGAAAUUGAAGUAAUCUCCAACGAGAUCAUCAAGCCAUCUUCUCCAACCCCAGAUCACCUUCGCCAUUACCAGCUCUCCUUUCUUGAUCAAAUCUCUCCCCCAACCUAUAACCCUUUGCUCCUCUUCUAUCCAGCAGACGGUGAUGUCAAGAUCAACAACAUAGAGAAACCUAACCAGCUCAAGCAAUCCUUGUCUGAGGUCUUAAACCUUUACUAUCCCUUAGCCGGACGUAUUAAGGACAACCUUUUCGUAGAGUGCAACGAUGAGGGCAUUCCAUUUUUCCAGGCAGAAGUCAAGUGCCGACUUCCACAAGUUGUUGAGAAUCCAGAACCUAGUGAACUCAACAAGUUGAUCCCAUUUGCACUAGAUGAUGCUGAAGAACUGCCUCUAGGCAUCCAGUACAACAUCUUUGAGUGUGGUGGAAUUGUUAUUGGUCUGUGCAUCUCACACAAAGUUGGAGAUGCAUCAUCACUGUUCACGUUUAUCAAAUAUUGGGCUGCCACUGCUCGUGGAGAAGCAGAUCACAUAUCAAGACCAGAGUUUAUCUCUGCAACUCUCUUCCCACCUAUCAACAUAUCAGGGUUUAAACCAGCCACUGGUAUCACUAAAGAAGAUGUUGUGACAAAAAGGUUCGUGUUCCGCUCCUCUUCAAUAGAGCUGCUAAAAGAAAAAUGCAGUCCUGCAAGUGGAAGCUUGGAAAAUCAGCGACCACCAUCACGUGUUGAGGCCUUGUCAGUAUUCAUAUGGCAACGCUUCACAGCUGCCACUAAAGUAGAAUCAAGACCUGAAAGAAUUUACUCCAUGGUUCAUGCAGUGAACCUGCGCUCGAGGACGGAACCUCCGCUCCCAGAAUACUCCUUCGGAAACUACUAUCGGAUUGCAUUCACAAUUCCAUCCAUUGAUACUGGCGAGGAAAACUACAAUCUUGUUAGUCAGAUCAGAGACUCAAUUGGUAAAGUUGACAAAGAAUACGUGAAGAAACUUCAAAAGGGCAGUGAGCACUUGGGCUUCAUGAAAGAACAAGCUGCAAGAUUUCUCAGAGGUGAGGUGGUUUCUUUGAACUUCACAAGCUUGUGCAGGUUUCCUUUGUAUGAAGCUGAUUUUGGGUGGGCGAAACCUAUAUGGGUAGGCUCUCCAAGUCUCACCUUCAAGAACCUAGUUGUUUUCAUGGACACUGCAUCAGGUGAUGGAAUAGAAGCACUUGUGCACUUGAAGGAGGAAGACAUGGCCAAAUUCCAAGAGGAUGAGGAGUUGCUUCAGUAUAUUGUACCAACCAAAUGUUAAACAGACUACAUUAAUUACAUAUCGUUAUUAGUAUAUUGGUAAGUACUUUCUUAAUGUCCUUAUGGUGGUUUCGACUGUGUUGAAUCAAUCUGGGUAAUAUUAUAAGCUUUUCGAUGUAUUAUUAAUUUAGUAUGUAAAUUCAACAAAUUAAAAUAAAAGAAGAAGAAGAAGAAAGAACGACAUGAAAAUCAAAAGGGACCCGUUGAAAAGAGAUUUGGAUCCUACAUGUCCGUUCGAUUAUGUUUCAAAUUUAGCUAUUCAUUGUGAAUUAAAUAAUCUGAAUUAUUGGAGAAAAAUAAAAUAAUAAAGAUUAUGUUUUAAAUUGUUACCGUUUAUAUUAUAAACUGAAUCUUGUCUAUUCAAUUUAAAUUUAAUAUUUUAAAUUUAACAAAUAUAUGAUUAUGUUUCCUAGAAAAUAGAAUAUCUCAAUUCAUUUAAAGGAAUGUCUUGAAUUUGUCAAACCCUCCAUUCGAUGCACGAAGAAGAGGUUAAUUGCUUGAAAUUGGUUGGUGCAGCUUGUGGAAGAAAGAACAUGCGCCUGCAAUGCAACGUGCCUUACCAUUUGUAAAUCCAACAAAACAAAGAAACGAUACUAAUUAUUCUAAUAUGUUGCAAGCAGCUCCUUAUUUCUUAACAAAUUUAUAAUAAUAUAAACAAAAUUAGGAUUAUAAGAACGAAUCCAAAAUACAACAUUGAGAAAUAAAAAGCGAAUAACAUAUUCUCAAUCCAGUAUAAUUGCAUCAAAAAUUAAUUAGUACCUAGAAUGGCAAACCUUUCAUUAAAAAGUUUAUGACAAGCGGAAAAAUUAGAGAACUAAAAUGCAUAAGAUUGGUAAAAUUGGCAAGCCAAUUUCUACUGAAAAAAGCUCCACUAGUGAAAAUAUUUUUAUCUAGGGUAAAGAAACACAAAUUUGAAUAGGUAAGGAUUCAAUGAGAAUUGAGAAAGGCUUAGUUAAUUUUAUUGAGGACUUAAUUGGAAGAAAAAAAAUUAUAUUUAAAAUCAAUUUUUGACUUUAAUUGGAGGAAAUUAAAGUCUGGAGGUCAACUUGCAAUUUUAAAGAGUUAAUUUGAUCAAAUCAUGAGCUUAAUUGCAUAAAUAUUAAAAUUUGAUGGGAAAUUAGAGAUUUAAUUUGUCAUUAUAAUCCCCAAUAUUCAGUCGUAAAAAAUAUAGCUAUUCAUUUUGAAUUAAAUAAUCUGAAUUAUUGGAGAAAAAUAAAAUAAUAAAGAUUAUGUUUUAAAUUGUUACCGUUUAUAUAUAUUAUAAACUGAAUCUUGUCUAUUCAAUUUAAAUUUAAUAUUUUAUUAUGUUUCCAAAAAAAUAGAAUAUCUCAAUUCAUUUAAAGGAAUCUUGAAUUUGUCAAACCCUCCAUUCAAUGCUCGAAGAAGAGGUUGCUUGAAAUUGGUUGGUGCAGAUUGUGGAAGAAAGAACAUGCUGCAAUGCAAUUUGCCUUACCAUUUGUAAAUCCAACAAAACAAAGAAAAGAUACAGCAAUAGCAAUAGUUAUCGUAGCAUAACAAUAUACAAGUAGUCAUUAUUCUAAUAUGUUACCACUACCAGAAAUUCGCUUAAUACCAACGGAAUUACCGACGAAAUAAUUCUGUCGGUAAUUUACAGUCACAAUUACCGACGGAAUUUUUUCUGUCUGUAAUUCCAUCGAUAUAUACUGGCGGACUACUUCGGUCGAUAUUUAUUGACGAAAUGACAGACAGAAUAUUCAGAAUUAAAGAAAAAGGGUGGUUCGCUGACGUGGAAGUUUUUGCGGGUGAUUUUACCGACAGAAUCACCGAGGGAUUCAAAACGGCAGCUCCGUACGGUGACGUGACCAAUUCACCAUUCGAAUUGCCGACAGAAUCACCGAGGGAUUGAAACCGGAAUCUCCGUAUAGUGACGUGGCCUAUUUACCGUCAGAAUGGCUGACGGAAUCACUGACGGAAUACAUCCGUCGGUGAGUCCGUCGGCAAAAGUUAAUAAAUGACCACUCUGUCGACCCUCUCCUCCCCUAUUUUUCCUUCUUUUUCCUCAUCCCAACUCUCCUAUACUGCAAACAACCAGCCCCACCCCCCCCCCCAAAAAAAAACUCCCUCUUCUCAGCACAACAAGUCAUAUUUCUUGAAGUUUUGUGGUCACAACAUCCGUGUUCUGAUUUACCGAUGAAUUUUAUCAGUUUUUGUAAGUAAUUCUAUCUUUUUAAUUUUUAACAUUUAAAUGUCAAUUUUAUUGUUUUUUUAGUAUAUGUAUUUUGUUAGUAUAUGUACAUGUUUUAUUGUUAUUUCUCAAACAAACUUGUAGUAUAUGAAUAUGGUUUGUUUUAGAUUUUGUAAAAUUGUAUUUGUUUGUAAAUUGUUGAAACUUUAUUGAAUUACCGAAUUACAUGUGUUGUUUUGAAAUAAUUAAUAGCUUGUUUAACAGAUCCGUUUUAAUUUUUAUCAAUGGUAUUACGGAGUUGUAAUUUCCGUAAAUUUAUAUGUAUUAAUUUGUAUGGACGUUGAUAAUUGAUAAUGAAUAUUUAAUAUUUAUGAGAAGUUGUAAUUAGUUUGUUGGAUAAUCUCGAGGUAUACCAAUAUUUUUGCAAAUUUAUUUACCUAUCAUAGUUAAUUAAUACUUGUCAUCAUAAUUUUAUAAAGGUUCAAUAGAAGUCAUGGAUGACCGUUCAUGGAUGUAUCGAGAUUCACCCCAAGGAUUGCGGAGGAUGAAUUAUUGUAACGGGGUUCAGGGUUUUAUUAAUUUCACAACAUCUAUUCCCAGAAAUUUUACCAGAGGCGGUAUUAGGUGUCUAUGCAGGAAGUGUCAAAAUAAAAAGUAUCUGCAUCCAGAUGUUGUAAUGAUGCAUCUCCUACACAAAGGGUUUAUGGAGAAUUACUGGUGUUGGUAUGCACAUGGAGAAGUAUUCGUUCGUAAUAAGAGAAUGGGAGAAAGGGUGGUUAGGUCAACUUCUAGUGCUAACAAUGUGCAUGAAGCAACAAAUGACAACACUAAACUUACAAGAAUAUGGUUAUGGAUGCAAUGAGAAUGAAUCAAGGUAAUAUCAGUCAAUGUCCAAUCGUAGAAGAAGAACCUAAUGCAUAUGCAGCUAGGUUUUUUGAUUUGUUGAAAGAUUCUGACGAACCAUUAUGGGAUGGCUGCACGAACCACAGUAAAUUAUCGGCCGUAGCACAGGUGUUCACCAUCAAGUCAAAUCACGGGUUGAGUGAGGCCGAGUAUGACAAAAUUAUUGAAUGGGCGAGAAGCAUUUUACCUGAAGGGAACAGGCUGAAAGAGAACUUCUAUGCUGCGAAGUCCAUGAUGAAACCCCUCGGUUUAGGAUACUAGAAAAUUGACAUGUGCCCUAACUUCUGCAUGUUAUACUACCUUGAAAAUGCUGAGCUGACCGAGUGCAUGACAUGCGGGCAUUCCCGUUACAAACCCAGAACUGGUAGGGGAAAGACUCUAGUGGCAUUUAAAAAACUUAGAUACUUCCCAAUCACACCUAGACUACAGAGGUUAUUCAUGUCACCAAGGACUGCUGAGCAUAUGACAUGGCACCAAUCACAUGAUGCGGUUGAUGGAGUUAUUGUGCAUCCUUCUGAUGACGAAGCGUGGAAACACUUUAACAGUGUGCAUCCUCACUUUUCAGCUGAAUCAAGGAACGUGCGUCUUGGGUUGUGUACAGACGGAUUCAACCCAUUCGGGUCAUUUGCUCCUCCUUAUUCUUGUUGGUCGGUCAUACUCACGGUUUAUAACUUGCCAUCGGGAAUAUGUAUGAGGCCGGAGUUCAUGUUUUUAUCUACUGUCAUACCCAGUCCAAGCAGCCCGGGCUGGAUUACAAAUGUUUGUCUUCGACCGUUGAUUAAUGAGUUGGCGUAGUUGUGGUCCUCCGGAGCUUUGACUUAUGAUAUAUCGAGGAAAAUUUUUUUUGUUAUAAGGGCGACUUUGAUGUGGACUAUCAAUGAUUUUCCAGCUUAUAGAAUGCUUUCUGGUUGGAGUACGCAUGGGAAACUAGCAUGUCUAUACUGCAUGAAAAACAAUAAGGCAUUCACGCUAACAAACGGAGGUAAAGCUUUUUUUUUUUACUGUCACCGUUGUUUCUUGCCACAUAAUUACAGGUAUAGAAAGAACAGAAAAGAUUUCUUUGUCGGCAGAGUUGAAAAGGAUGUUGCAUCCUGAUUAGUACUUAAAAGUGCAUUUUUAUCAAGGUUUUAUAUCAUCAUUUUACACUUGAAGUAUCAAUAACUCGUUAGCUAGAGCAUGUUUUAUAAUAACAUAUCUAAUAAUAUAAGAUACCUUUAAUUUAUGGUAAAUGUUUAUCUUAAAUGCAGGCCUAUCACAUAAAUGAAAGGAUUGAUUGAUGAGUUUAACUACUGAAAUUGAGAAGACAAAUAAAGGGCUAAGCUUAGGAAAGAGAUGCUGGUUUAGUCUAAACUGGAACACUGUUCAAUCAUUGGAUCAUAACUGGAGCUGUAGAACUGGGAUUUAGGUCUGCUCUAUAUGGAUGGAAAGCUAAGACAUAGGCCUAAAACUUUCAUGAGGAUUUCAAGAUUCAAAAAGGCCAUUUUCAAGUUCAAAUUGUAGCAACAACGGAGAAGUCCGAAUCUAUCCUACAGCCCAGAUACUGUUUAGUGUUCAGCCCAUAUCUCGAGUUCUAGAAGUUCAAAUGCACCGAUUCUUUUUUAGUUGGAAAGCUGAGAUAUUUUCCUAGAACUUUCAUGACAAAAAUCUGUUCAAAUUCUGAUGUAAGCAAUGACAUUUUUUUCAGACAAGAAGAUAAGGAUUGUCACCAAGUCAAGAUGUGGCUACCCACUCAACAAUUAGUCAUCAAAUCAAUAGUUCCAAAUUUUGGCCUAUAAAAGGAGGCAUUUGCCAUGCAUUUAGGCAUUUUGGUUGUUCAGAUCAAUAUCUUGCUCUUGCUAUUUUUUUUUGUAUUUUGUAAUGUUCAAGUUUUAUUCCAUGUUAUAUUUUCCUUAAUCUCUUGUUUAUGGUUUUCAUUUCCUUUACUAUACUUAAUAAUUAUGAUCUUAUCUUGUUUAUCUAUGUUUCUCUUCUUUAUUAUGUUUAGCUAAGUUCAUUAUGUCAAGGUAAAAAGGUUUCAGUAAUGGUGUUAGGAUAAGUAUAAUAUAAAUUCAAUAUGGACUUCAAUGCUUAUAUCCUAAACAACUUGCUAUUAACAUGUCUUAUCAUUUUUUUCUUAUUAAUUCUUAAUACCUUGCUUGUUAAAUGGUUAAUCUAGAUUUGUGUUGUAUAACACUUGGUACAACAAAUACUUGACACUUCAUAGCCAACCGUAUGGUAUAACCUACAUCUGUGCUAUAAAAGGAACUUGAUUUGUUGUUAACAUAAGUUAGCAUCAUGAAUUCCUGACAAUAUUUAAAAGUUUGGUGAUACUUAAAUAAGAUAAUUAAUAUAAUCAUGUUAAUAAUUUAUAAUGAGCUAUCAAUGACAAAUCAUUCGAUUGGAACCUCCUUUGUGAGUAGUUUCUAGUUGAGUAAUAUAAAAAAUUUAUACUAUACUUAUUUGAAAUACCAUUAGUGGAUCCUCUAACUUUGACAACUGUUUUUAUCAUUGUUUAAUCCUCACAUUAAUCUUACAUCUCAAUGUCCUAUUUACAUCAUCAUCAUCAUCAUCAUCAUCAUCAUCAUUUAUAAUUUAUAUAAUUAACCUCCCUGCGGUUCGACCCCGGUCUUGCCGGGUUAUUUAUUACUUCGACACUCCUACACUUGGGAGAAGAUAUCAAUCUUUUGGUCGUGUCAAGUUUUUGGCGCUGUUGCCGGGGAAGGUAAAUUACUGUAUAAAUUAUAUAUUUUAUUUUAUUGUCUUUUCUUUUCUUUCCUUUUAUCUAACUUUUCUUUCAUUUGUUUUGUUUUGUUUUGUUUCUUUUCUUUUCUUCCAUUUCAUUCUUUUCCUACACGUGCAUGACAGUUUGGUCACGUACAUUAAGUGGUAGACUUCUAGGGAAUCCUCAUCAUUUUCAGAAAACAUGGCCGAAAAGGAUAAUCAAUCGCUUCAUAAUGAGAAUAAUGAGAAUAAUCGAGUUAGAACACUUAGAGACCACAUGAAUUCUACAAGAACAAGUGUACCCUCAUGUAUAGUUUUUCCUCCUGAUGCAUCUCACUUCGAUUUUAAGCCAGACAUUAUUCAACUUUUACCUUUUUUAUGUCUUAGAUCUAGAAAAUCCAUACUUGCAUUUGAAAGAAUUUGAAGAAGUCUGUAACACCUAUAAUGACUUAAAUUGUAGCAUGAAUACCAUUAGAUUAAAGCUUUUUCCUUUUUCAUUAAAAGAUAAAGCUAAAACAUAGCUACAAAAUCUUAGGUCAGGAUCCAUUCGUGCUUGGGAUGAAAUGUGACAACAAUUUUUAAAAAAGUUUUUUCCAUCUCACAGAACAAACUCUUUCAAAAGACAAAUCACCACUUUCACUCAAAAAUCAGGAGAAACAUUUUACCAAUGUUGGGAUAGGUAUCGAGACUUGCUUAAUACUUGCCCUCAUCAUGGUUUUGAAACAUGGAGAUUGAUUUCAUAUUUUUAUGAAGGGUUAACACCUAAAAAUAGAUAAAUGGUGGAAUUGAUGUGCAAUGGAACUUUUGAAAAUAAAGACCCUGAUGAAGCAAUGGAGUACCUAUACUUGCUAGCUGAAAAUGCUCAAAAUUAAGACACUACAAGCGCUUAUGAGGCACCAAGUAAAACUCAACCUCAUACAUCUAGUGGAGGUAUGUACAACCUUAGGGAAGAUCAUGACCUCCAAGCCAAAUUUGCAUCUUUAGUUAGAAAAGUCGAGGCACUUGAAUUUAAAAAGAGUGGUCAACUAAAAUCUGUUCAAGACAUUAUGUGUCAAAUCUGUGAAACUAAUGAACAUUCAACCAAUGAUUGUCCAACUUUGCCUUCUUUUAAGGAAUGUCUCCAUGAACAAGCCCAUGCUUUAAACAGUUUCCAAAUGCCCAAUCAUAACCCAUACUUAGGAACAUACAACCCUGGUUGGAGAAAUCACCCAAAUUUCAAUUGGAAAAGUGAUAACAAUAAUGCACAAACUUCACAGCCACCGUUUCAAACACACUAUAAUUUCCAAAAUUCUCAUGGAUAUGCACCUCCUUAUGCUCCACUUCCAAGAAGAAAUCUUAAGGAAACAUUGCAUGCAUUCAUUGAAAAGCAAGAGACAAUCAACACUCAACUUGCUCAAAGCAUGACAGAUUUUAAAGAUACUCUUGCAAAAUUGACAUCUGCUCUCAGUUUUCAAGAGAAAGGUAAGUUUCCAUCUCAACCACAACAAAAUCCAAAAGGGAAAUACAAUGUAAAUGCAAGUAGUUCUGGAAGCCAACACAUGGAUCAAGUCAAAUCAGUCAUCACUCUUCGCAGUGGUAAGGUUAUUGAAAAACCCAUUCUUGAACCUUGUGAGAAAGAUGAUGAGUCAAUCUCUAAGGGUAAGGAAGGGGUUGAAUCUGAAUAUUGCAAAGAAAAGAUUGAUUCCCCGCCAACACUUCCAUUUCCUCAUGCCAUGACCAAACAAAGGAAAAUCAAUCACAACUCUGAAAUCUUUGAAACUUUCAAGCAGGUAAGGAUCAAUAUACCUUUUCUGGAUGCUAUUAAACAAGUUUCUUCUUUUGCUAAAUUUUUAAAAGAUCUAUGCAUUGUGAAGAGAAAAUUGAAUGUGAAAAAGAAAGCCUUUUUAGCCGAAGAAGUGACAUUCUUCAGAACAAUAAUGCUUUGAAAUAUAAAGACCCUGGUUGUCCUACAAUUUCUUGCUUUAUUGGAGAAUAUAAAAUUGAAAGAGCUUUACUUGAUCUUGGAGCUAGUGUGAAUUUACUUCCAUAUUUGGUUUUUUAAAGUCUUAAUAUAGGUGAGUUAAAACCAACUUCUGUAACUCUUUUACUUGCCGAUAGAUCUAUAAAAGUGUCUAGAGGAAUAGUUGAAGAUGUGUUAGUACAAGUUGAUAAAUUCAUUUAUCCUGUGGAUUUUAGUGUCUUAGACACACAACCUGUUGAAGCAUGUAAUUCAUUUUCUGUUAUUUUAGGACGUCCGUUUCUUGCAACUUCUAAUGCAUUGAUUAAUAGUAGGAAUGGACCGAUGAAGCUAUCUUUUGGAAACAUGACAUUAGAGAUGAAUAUUUUCAAUAUUUGCAAGCAACUUGGAGAUGAUAAUGAUUUAUAAGAAGUAGAUUUCAUUGAAGAAUUAGUUUAUGAUCAAUUUGAAUCUACCUUGAGUAAAACUGAUUUUGAUGAAUCUGAAGAAUUGCAAAUGAUUUAUUCUCAGGAAGAAAUCACAGAUGAAAAAGGCACCAAAAAUGUUGUCACAGAUCAUUUGUCAAGAUUGACAACAGAUUUGACAUUUGACAUCACACCAAUCGAUGAUUACAUUCCUGACGAAUCCUUACUUUCUCUUAGUUUAAUGCCUUGGUUUGCUAAAAAUAUCAAUUUUCUUGCUUCAGGAGAUUUGCCAGCUCAUUGGAAUACCGAAGACAAAGGAAAGUUUUUGAAAGAAGUGAAGAACUUUUAAUGCGAUGACCCCUACUUAUUCAAAUAUUGUCCUGAUUAAAUAUUUCAAAGAUGCAUUGCGGACAAUGAGGUAAGUAGUGUCAUUAAACUUUGUCAUUCUGAGGCAUGUGGGAGUCAUUUCUCGUCAAAAAAGACGACUGCAAAAAUCUUACAAUGUAGAUUUUAUUGGCCCACCAUGUUCAAAGACACACAUGUGUUCUGCAAUGCUUGUGAAAAUUGUCAAAAGUCUGGAUUUAUUUUAAAACAUAAGGAAUCUUUAGAUAAUCUUCUAUUGACUUUUGAAACAUAUUCUAGUGGAGAUGUGCAUCGUGCAAUUCAUGAUUUAUGGCCACAAUUCCAUAAAGAACAUGAUCGACUUAGUCUUGGGAAUCUGACUAUAAAAGACCCUGUUUGCCAGUUUUUAAAAAAACUGGAUAGGAAGCCUAUCCUCGACCCAUAGAGGGCGUUUAAGCCGUUCUUGGAUGUAAAACCAAGGGAAGAUGUGAGCCACAAUCACAACUACCUGUACAUACACAUGUUUUUUUUUUCAAAAUAAAUAAAUAAAUAGAGAGAGAGAGAGAGAGAGAGAGAGAGAGAGAGAGAGAGACUCCAGUUGGCCUACAUAUAGGUGGUAUAAUUGCAUUUUCAAUUUCUCAUCUAUAAAAUCCUCUCUUCCUUCCUUUCAUUUAUACUCAACCCAUACAUUCAACAAAUAUAAAAGUGUGUAGAAAUGGCAGGUUCCUCAAGUCAUCACAUAAGAAAUAUUUGUGCUUUCGGUAGAUCCAGUCCUGGGAAAGAAAAUGAUUUUUUAGAAUCAGCAAAUCAUCUUAGUCAAGUACUAGCUGAGAGAAAGAUUCAUUUAGUGUAUGGAGGAGGCAGCCUUGGCUUAAUGGGGGGGUGUGUCAAUAGCUGCAUUUUUAGGAGGCAGUCAAGUUUUGAGGGUCGUCCCCAAAGCUUUAGCAAAAAGGGACAUCAUUGGAAAAACAAUUGGAGAGGAACUACAGGUCUCCACCAUGUCUGAUCGAUUGAAUGCAAUGUUUAACCAUGCUGACGCCUUCAUUGCCUUACCAGGUGGUUUGGGCACAUUGGAAGAGAUCUUUCAUAUUUCCUCUUGGGCCCAACUGCACAUUCACCAUAAACCUAUAGGUCUGUUAAAUGUUAAUGGUUUUUAUGAUAAUUUGUUGUCUUUUCUUGAUCAAGCUGUGGAACAGGAAUUUCUAACAUCUUCGGCAUGACAAAUCAUAAUCUCUGCUGCUACUACUGAAUAAUUGAUUGACCAACUACAAUCUUUCAUCCCUGUAAUUGAUCCUUCCAUGAGUUGUAUAAAUUGGUCAACUAAGAAAAGCCAUAAAAAGCUUAGAUUAGAUUUGAGCCUUCGUUUGUGAAUCAUUGUGUCUUUUGGUUUUAUUAAUAGCAUAUUAUUUUGUUUUGUUAUUUCUUAUAUUUGUUUAAGUGUGUUUCAGGUUUGUCAGUGUUCGCUGCUUCAGGUGAUGACUUCUAUACUCUAUCUUUCUACCUUAGAACAUUGAGGAAAAUGUCUCGUUUUGGUUGGGGGGAGAGGGUAGUAGUUGACAAAAAAAAACCUAACCAACUAACUGUUUUUGUUUUUAAAACCAUUUGGCAAAACUGUUAUUACUAGGAUGGCAAAGGAGGAAUUUUAUUGACUCUUGAGACACAUCUUAGUAAACAUUUUCUAAUGGUUAUUUGCAAUAUUCAUAACAAGGUCUAUCAGAAUACUUCUUGAAAUAUUUAGGUUUACAAACUCUCGUAUUGUUAUCACUUAAUUCUGCUCAUAUACUCAUUUAACAAGUAUUCUUAAACCUUCAUUUUCACACACACACUUUAACAUAUGAUUGUGGGUUGCAAAUUGGAUUAUUAUUUAUGUUCUUUUGUUAAAGGUAACAACUAAGGGAAAGGGAUAGUAUAUAAUUUGCAAAAAAAAAAAAUGAUAAUAAUAUAAACGUAGAUAAGUUUGGUUUCGUAGCCUCCCUAACCUAAGCAAUUAAGCCCGAAGCGUUGUUUUAACACCUAAUACCCUAAAGUCAACUAUCUUGGGAGCUAUUGGCCCAAAGCUUGUUACAUGGGUUGAGGAGAAAAGCUUAAGGGAAUCAAACAUUGCACUAUCUACGUAUCAGUAUCUGCAACCCGAGUUACUAAGCUCGAAGGGGUGUCUCAACACCUAAUGCCCUAAGACCAACUGGUCUAGGAGUCAUUAGCCGAAAGCUCGUUACAUGGGUUAAAAAUGCAUUGUAUUUUAAGUUAUAUGUAUAUAUAUUUUUAAAAAAAAAGAAAAAAAAAGAGAGAAAAGAAGAAAAAAAAAAGAUAAUAAUCCCAACCCAAGGAAGUUAACCUUAAACAUUAGAACAUAAUAUUGUUUUCUUCAAAUAAAAGCCCCAUCAUCUAUGUUUUCAUACAUUGAACACAUAAAAAGGAAGGUUUAUUAAUAUUUUAUUUAAGAGGUAUUGAGCAGAUAUAUAAAUUUAAUGAGAGUUUGUUUAUCUAGAUAGAUUAAUGGAAGUUGAAUGAUAAAUGCCUUGCUUUGUAGAAUUUUCAAAUUGUUUUUCUAUUUUAACGCUUUGAUUACUAGGGACUAGAAAUAAACUGGUUGGGGGGUGUGAUUAGUACUUGAAAAUGCAUUUUUAUCAAGGUUUUAUAUCAUCAUUUUGCACUUAAAGUAUCAAUAACUCCUUAAUUAAAGCAUGUUUUAUAAUAACAAGUCUGAUACCAUAAGAUACCUUUAAUUUAUGGUAAAUGUUCAUCUUAAAUACAUGCCUAUCACAUAAAUGAAAGGAUUGAUUGAUGAGUUUAAGUACGGAAAUUGAAAGGACAAAGAGAGGGCCAGACUUAGAAAAGAGAUGCUGGUUCAGUGCAAACUAGAAUACUGUUUGGUAAUUGGGUCAUAUCUGGAGCUGUAGAUCUCGGAUUUAGGUCUGCCUUAUAUGGAUGGAAAGCUAAGACAUAGGCCUAAAACUUUCAUGCGGAGUCCAAGAUGUAAAAAGGCCGUUUUCAAGUCCAAAUUGCAGCAACAACAGAGAAGUCUGAAUAUGUCCUGCAGCCCAGACACUGUUCAGUGUUCAGCCCAUAUCUCGAGUUCUAGAAGUCCAAAUGAGCUCAACGUUUUUUCCUGGAAAGCUGAGACAACUUCCUAGAACUUUCAUGAUUUAAGUCUGUUCAAAUUAUGACGUUAUCAAUUAUGUUUUUUGCAAACAAGAAGAUAAGGAUUGUCACCAAGUCAAGAUGUGGCCACCCACUCAAUAAUUAGUCAACAAAUCAAUAGUUUCGAAUUUUGGCCUAUAAAAGGAGGUAUUUGCCAUGUAUUUAGGCAUCUUGGUUUUCAGAUCAAGAUCAUGUUUUUGCUCUCUCUUUAUAUUUUGUAAUGCUUAAGUUUUGCUUAAUCUAGAUUUAUGUUGUAUAACCCUUGGUACAAUAAAUACUUGGCACUUUCAUAGCCCAACCGUAUGGUAUAACCGACACCUGUGCUAUGAAAGGAGCUUGAUUUGUUAUUAAUAUAAGUUAUAAUCAUGAAUGCCUGACAACAUUUACAAGUAUUAACAUUAUUCGAAUAAGAUAACUAAUGUAAUCAUGUUAACAAUUUAUAAUCUGAUUGGAACCUCCUUUGUGUGUAAUUUCCAGUUGAGUAAUAAAAAGAGUUUAUAAUAUACUUGUUUGAAAUACCAUUAGUGGAUCCUCUAACCUUGACAAUUAUUUUAUCCUUGUUUAAUACUUACAUCAAUAUCACAUCUCAAAACUCUCUUUAACUUAUUAUUGUUGUUGUUGUUAUUUAUAAUUUAUAUAGUUAACCUCCCUGUGGUUCGACUCCGGUCUUGCUGGGUUAUUUAUUACUUCGACACUCCUACACUUGGGAGAAAACAUCAAUCUUUUGGUCCUGUCAAUUUUCAUUAAUUUUAAUUGUUAUUCUAGAGUUUUUUUUUUUGAAUUUAUUGGCAAUAUUUUAUUGUUUGUAUUGCCAUAAUAAUUGAAUAAUUUGUUGAAUUGUAAUUGUUAAUGUUGAAUUUACCUUGUAAUUAGUAAUUGAAUAUGUUGGAAUAAUUAGUAAUUUUACUCUAUUAUUGCAUGAUUUGUGUUUAAUUAUUUCCAUUAAUUUUAAUUGUUAGUCUAGAGUUUUUUGUUUUUGAAUUUAUUGGCAAUAUUUUAUUGUUUGUAUAAUAAUUGAAUAAUUUGUUGAAUUGUAAUUGUUAAUGUUGAAUUUACCUUGUAAUUAGCAAUUGAAUAUGUUGGAAUAAAUUUAAUUAUUUUCUCUCAAUUUUACUCUAUUAUUGCAUGAUUUGUGUUUAAUUAUUUCCAUUAAUUUUAAUUGUUAGUCUAGAGUUUUUUUUGAAUUUAUUGAAUAUAUUUUAUUGUUUGUAUUUCUAUAAUAAUUGAAUAAUUUGUUGAAUUGUAAUUGUUAAUGUUGAAUUUACCUUGUAAUUAGUAUGAAUAUUAUUUGUAUAGAUGUUAUGUUAAAUACAAGAUUAGUAUAGAUGGGGUCAAUUGGUUAUAACUAUUGUCAAUAUUUGCAGGUUUGAAAAGUUUGGGAGUCUCCAGUAUAGGGGAGGUGCUGCCGAAUUUUUUUUAAUAUUCAAAUUUAAUUAUAUAAUUAUUCGUAUAAAAUUGUGUAGAUGCGUAGAACGAAAUCCAUAGCUCGUCGUUCACGUAUGGUUGUAGCUAGUUCUUCCAGCAGCGAGGAUGACAUAUCCUUAGGUGCCUGUCAAGAAGAGGCACUUGCGUCGUCAACCGAUGCUGCCUCUUCCAGCACGGUUUCACAACACAGAGGCAGCGUGCCUUUGUAGCGGAAUCAAUCACCCGCAAGUACGAGGCACAGUGGAAGGAUAACCUUUCAAUGUAAGUUUGUUAAGGUUUUAGUUUUUUUUUUUAAAUUAUAACAUAAUUUAUGAACAACUAAUCAAUAUUUCAUUAAUUUAAUUUAUUUUCAGGUUCACAAACAUUGAGGUCGCCCGAGUAAUAUCAUCGGCGUUUAAAUCAUCGAUGGAGAUUCCAUUAUUUCAAUGGAGUCAAGUAUCCAGACAUCCUGAAUGGAUACCUCAAAUCGAUGUAUGGUUUGACAGAUUUGAGGUUGGUGUUAAUUUCUAAUUUCCAGCUUAUUUCUAAUAAAUUAUUAAUAUAAUUGUAAAUAAACUAUUAUUUUUAUAUAAAUUAAUUAUUUAUACACAGGACAAAUUCGACCGGGACAGUGCGCAUGACACUAUUAUGAGGAGGGAAUGGAAAAAUCACGCGGCAACUAGGUAACAUAAAAAACAAUACAGAGAGCGGGAAAUACCAAUCGUACCGACAAAUUUAUAGACGGAGUAUUUCCGUCGGCAUUUCACAGUAGCUUGGUGCAAAUGCCACAAUCAUCGACGAAUUUACAGACGGAUAUAUUCUGUUGGUAUUUCACACACUCACCGAUAAAGUUAUCGAGGGCUAUAGUCCGUCGACAUUUAACCGAGAGCUGAAAAAUAUUUACUGGAUAUGCCACUAUCACCGACGGAAUCAAUCCGUCGAUAUAUUUCAAGCGGGAAUUUUUUUUUUUUGGCGCAUAAUUUUCGUCUGUAAAACUAUUGGCAAUUGUUUUUUUUUACCGACCGAUGUAGCGACGGAAUUAGGUAUUACCGAUGAAAGGAAAGUCGACGGACGGUUUCCGUCAGGGAUGUCAUCGGUAAAAAAGUUACCGACGAACUCUGAAUCAUAGACCGACGGAAUAGUUCUGUUGGUAAAACUGUGAAAGCUUGUAGUGUACAAGCUCCUUAUUUCUUAACAAAUUUAUUCUAGUAUAAACAAAAUUAAGAUUAUAAAAACAAAUCCAAGAUGCAUCAUUAAGAAAUAAAAAGCAAAAAACAUAUUCUUAAUCCAGUUUAAUUGCAUAAAAUAUGAAUUAGUACCUAAUAUGCCAGAUAAUUCAAACUGUUAUAUAGAAUAGUCCUUGCCAAAUCUUUCAUUAAACUUUUUCUUUAAUCAUUCUUAUGUUACCCUUUUUUUACCACACAUAAUGUCACACCUGACAUUACGACAGCCUUAAAAAAUUUUCGAUGAAAAGAACUAAUUUCUGGCAUCUUGUUUUUUAAUGGGGAAUGGUCUUGUUUAAGGAGUAGCCACCUAGUAUUAUGGUCACUAGAAACCCUGACUGGUCAACAGAGAUUCUAUGGUACGGGACUGGUUACGCAAAAGGGAAGAUAUUAUCACCCCUUAAACGUCAUACAUGAUGCAGGUUGCAUUGCUGGUUUUGUCAUAAAUUGCUAACAUUUGUUGGUUUAUGCUAUGAUGGUUUGCGUGUAAUAUUCCUGACUCUGGCGCCAGUGAAUAUUCUAGAUUGGCCCAGCCCGAAUAGUUGGGUCUGAACCAAAAAAAAGGAAAAAGAAAAGAAAAUUUAAUUUUUUUUUUGAAAUUGUAAUUUUUCCGUGUAUUUUUCUACUAAAUUUUGCUUAAUAUUAGUUAGUAUUUUUAUACCGUAAAAAUACAAAUCUGGUAUUAAAAUACCUGAUUUUCGUCAAAACAUAAAAAAAAUAUUUUUGUUUUGUGCAUACGGCCAAGUGUCUUAAAGCUAAAAAAUCAUAUUGUGUUUUUCAUACACCAAAAAACAAUGUUUUAGCAUGCAUUUUUGCUUUAAUAACCAGUUUAUUAAAGUCAAGAGAACAUUGGACAAAAUUGCAAAAAUUCCAAAAAAAAAUAUUUUGUUUUGUUUUAGUAUCCGGGAUUACGAAUUUAUACGUAAAUAUAUUCCCGAUAUUAAAAAGAUAUUUCUUUUGACGACAUAAAACAGUUAGGUUUUUACCUUAUAAAAUAAGGAUCUCCUUACAGAGGAGGACUUUUCUUAAACCAUAGACAGACCGACAAUUAGAAACCACAACAAGACCUUAGAUUUUAUCAGACAAUAAAACAAUGCAGCUUACCUUAGGUAGGGCGUAGUUGGGGUGCUAAUACCUUCCCUUUACACAACCAGUCUCCGUACCCGAUCUCUGAGACCAGUUAGGGUUCCUAGUGACCAGAAUACUAGGUGGCGACUCCCAUUCAAAUUUUUCACUGAUAAAAGACAAGAAUUUGUUGUCUCCCCAUAUUUGCUAGAUAGACCUUUAUAGUUUCCUUGAGGUUGGACGGUUCACCUCGACGCCGCACACGUGCGACAGAAUGACGACUCCACUGGAGACCUUGUGGACUAAGCUUUGUUUUUGUUUAAUUAUUAUGUUUUAUUGUUUGGUUUGUGUCAUUGUUAAUAUGUAUUUCCUCAUUUGCUCAUACACUUUAAUUUCAUACAUAUUUGUUUGCAUUGUAAAAUUGCUUCACGCAUCAUUAGCAUUUUUGUACGAGUUACAUUGAAAACUCUAGGUUAAGUGGGGGACUAGAAGCUUACCUUACGACUUUUUGUCAAGGUUUAAGUUUGUGUAAACCCCAACUCUUCGCUGAGUGCUUAGACUGGUAAUGAUUGGUACACAUGCCAUCCCAUUACUUGCUGAGCCCCCAUAUUGCCUUUACGGGGCGAUCACUGGGACAACAAGAGACCCUUUUGAGACCAGGUAGCAAGUCACCCAUCAUGUAAUGGCCCAAACCUAACCUUAGAUUAUGAACUCUCUACAAGACAUAUACAUCCAUUUGCAUCAGACAUAUACAUCCAAUCAUUGUAAAUAACGUGCAUACAUAUAGCAGGUUGAAAUAUAGGUCCCCUACGAGUCUACAACACCCGACUUAGAGUGAGAAGCAUGGAAGAUGAAGAGUGUGCUCACCGUAACAUUCAUUUUCAAGAAAAGUUGGAGUCUAUAAAGACAAGUGUGGCUCACCUCUAGUUUACUCGAGCAAAUACUGGGAAAUAACUCUGGUGAAGUUCCUUCGAAUCCACCUAUCAUCUUUGUUCAAACCCCAACAACGACUCAUCCAGAAGAAAUUGGGAGCAAACAUGGUCAAGAGCCUCAACACAAUCCAACAUUUCUGCAAAAGCUUUUGUGGGAAGGCUAACCGAAGGGGAAUUGCACCACAGUUGCAGAAUGUAGCCUGUUCUUGUUCUGUCAAAAAAUAACUACCUCUGGUUGAUCAUGCCUUCAAAGCUUCUUGAUUUUUUGUUUCAACCUGUUUCAGUCUUGUUGGUAAGCUCAUAAUGCCACAAGACUUUCUCUGUCAAAAGAGUCUUCCUUAUUAAAUAAAAUCAUGUGUUUUCCUGUGUUCAUAUCCCACUCCUUUUUGUUGUUAUUACAUGUAAAUAACAUUUUGAGCACAACUUUUGCUCACAAAACUACAACACAAAGAAUCCUUCGGUGUUUUUUCUUUUCUUCCAAAAUCUAUACAUGUUCUCAUAUGUUUUCAAGGAUUUUUUUGGGACCUCCAAAGUUUAAUACAAAAAACAGAAAUCAUGUUGGUGUUUGUCCAAAACAAACGAAUUCUAAAAAUUCAAAUGAUUCCUUAGAAGGGUAACUAUAUACCUAGAAAACUUGAAAGAAAAAGACAAAACAAAGACAAAAAAAAAAACCCCAUGAGGUGACUCAAAAGCUGAGUUUUAUUUGAAUGAAUAAAUCACUUUGCAUACGUGCAUGAAAGCAAGACCUAUCGAUCCUCAAUGUAUGAGUUUGAGAUGAGGAAGACCAUCUUUGAUAAUCCUUUCACAAGGCUGAAAUAUAUCCUUUGCAAUCCCAUUUUGAGCCUAUUACAUUUUUGAAAAUAACAUUGACUAGGAUCACACCCCACACUGGGGGGGUGCGAAAAAACUCAAUGAUCAAAGCUGCCCACGCAAAGCUGGGGCAUGAUAAAGAAAAACCAAAGGAUCCAAAAGAUUUGAGCUUCUCAUAAAAACAACUAAGGUAAUUAUGCUCAACCAAACAAAAAUGAAGAAAACAAAGAGAAAGAGCCUGAACCCGACACUAGGGGCAUGACAAACCAUUUUGGAAAGAAAUUCAAAAGAAAAAGGUCAGGAAAUAAGCACAAGUGAUCCUUAGUCUUAAAAACCCUCAAACACCUUUUAAACUUGUGAAAUUUCUUUCUUUCAUAGCCAUGAACCAUAGCCUACAUUAUGUGCUUCUAAAAGCCCUUUUUGAUCAAGUAAGCAAUUUGAACCGAUAAAUGACACUCUCAAAACUUGAAGAGCUUUUCCAUAAGCUACUUGUUAUUAUGCAUGCUGAUAAAAUAAAUGCUAAAAAAGGAAAACACCCUUCCUUGAUAAAGCCUCAAGUUUUGACUUUAGCAUGUUGUUUUUUUGGAAUAUACAGAAGGUCACCUCAUCACAAAUCAUCAAAAGAGGUAUCCAAACUCAGAGUCUAAAAUGGAUACAAAGAACCAUGAAAAAGCCAUUUUAAUCUGACAACAGGUCAAUUUCUGUUUUCAAAAUACAUGACAAUCAAAGGACUGUAUAUUUUGAAUAACGUGUGUUAGGCUUUUUUUUUUUAUCAAAGAAGCUUGAUUUUCAAAAUCUUUUCCAAAACUGACAUCUCUAUGCUUUCAUUUCAACAAUUAGACUUGAAUAGACAUUAUCUUUGAAAUAUGAGAGUUGAUUCCAGAACAAGAUUGUCAAACACGAAGAACAUUGACCGAAUUUGCAAAAUCCUUGACAGAAAUUAUAUUGGCACUUCUCGAUACUCCUUGAAAAGUUGAGCAGCUAGGGGGCAAUAUAGUGGACUCUGAGAAGGAAAAACAAGCAAUAUUCAGACCAGCUAGGGGACAAUGAAAGAUGAUUAAAUGAUAAAUCAAUGAACUGAGGGCAAUGUGGUUCAAAGAAAGAUAAUCAAUGAACAAGCAUAUUUAGAUCAUACUGGGAGCAAUAUAGUUCGAAGACAAUCAUGAUCCAAGUGAACGUUAGCCGCAAUUGAGAGCAAAGAUGUGCCUGAAGGAUAUCUUCAUAUUGUCAUUUGGGUUUUCCCUGUGAACAUGGCUAUGACUCCUAGAAGAUGUUAUCACAUAGCUAUUUUUUUAAUGAAUGUCGGAAGGAUACAUACCACCAAGACUGAUUGUGGAACAAUGCUGCACUGGAAGGACAUCUUCAUAUCGUUAUCUUAGGUUUAUCCUUUGAAGCAUGACUACCGACUGAUGUGAACAUGAUUGAAUGUAAAUGAAUGUUGAAAAGAUGCAAAUCACCAAGACUGAAUGUGGAACAAAGAUGCACCUGUAGGACAUCUUCACAUCGUCACUCUUCAAAGCAUGGUUAUCGAUUAAUGUUGUCAUGACUAUAUUUGAAUGAAUAUUGAAGAGAUGCACAACAUCGAGACUAAUUGUACAACAAUGCUGCAUAGAAAGAACAUCUUCAUAUCGUCAUCUAGCUAAAGACGCACUUCACUGCCUGAAUAUGAGUGAUAAAAGCAACAUCAUUGAUGAGGUCGAGAUAUUUCUUUUCACAAUCUGAUUAGAUGAGCUGAGAAGAAUUUGUUGAAAAGAACAUUGAGCAUACAACGAUGAGCCUUUUACUGCAAGCUGUGAGAUGCAUAUCUAGACGACUGGAUAGUUUCCAAGAAGACUGAUGAUAACAUAUACUUGAAGAGUAUUGUUUUCACUAGAGGCAAGUUCAUGACUGAUUGGCAAUCUCAGAUGAGGUCGACAAUAGAAAACCUCUUAAUGAGUGUUGGCACGAUGCGCACAAUCAAUGAGAGAACAAUUUCUCAGGAGAAUCCAGAAGAUGAAUGAUUGGUUAAGCUCAUUCAUGAUGAAUCAAGCAACACCACACUUGGGGGCACGGUCAUGCUUGGUAAGGAAAGAGAGCAGAAAUCAUCGCGGACAACCUACGAUAAACACUGCAUUUAUAAUUGAAUGGAUGGCUGGCACACUAAUGAGCUGGCACAAAAAAACAAGGAAGGCUUCGAAAAGUAAACAAAUGAGUGUCAGAAAUGGGGGACCUAUAUUUCUCAGGUAAGUAUACAUGCAUAUCAAUCAUAAUGUAUUGCUUUCAUCAUUGACAGAUUGGUGUUACACCAUCACUUCUCGGGUAGUGCGUUUUAUAACCCUACCUCAUUUUGAGUGCGUCUUUGUGCCCUCACCUCCUUUUCAAGUGUGCCGUUGAGCCCUCACUUCCUUUUCGAGUGCGCCGUUGAGCCCUCACUUUCUUUUGAGUGCGCUUUUGAGCCACCAUCUCUUAGGUAGUGCGUUUUCUAACCCUACCUCCUUUUCGAGUGCGUCGUUGAGCCCUCGCUUUCUUUUGAGUGUGCCUUUGAGCCCUCGCUUCCUUUUUCGAGUGUGCCUUUGAGCCCUCACCUUCUUUUUUAGUGUGCCUUUGAGCCCUCACUUCCUUUUUCAAGUGCGUCUUUGAGCCCUUACCUUUUUUUUUAGUGCGCCUUUGAGCCCUCGCCUCUUGGGCAGUCCGUUUUCUAACCCUACCUCAUUUCGAGUGUGCCUUUGAGCCUCGCCAUCCUUUUUCUGGGUAGGUCACUCAUUACAAUGCGACCAUUCUUCAUAUUUUUUUUUUAUUUGGGUAGGUCACCCAUUACAAUGAGAUUAUUCCUCCACCUGGGUAGGUCACCUAUGACAACAAGAUCGCUCUUCCUUUUUCCCAUUUUUUUGGUAGGUCACCCAUUACAAUGAGACCAUUCCUUCACCUGGGUAGGUCACCCAUUAUAAUAAGACCACUCUUCCUUUUUCUACUUGGGCAUGUUGCUCAUGAAAAUAGACCAAGGUAAGUGUGAGUGUGUGGGUUGGUCGCCCCUAAAAAUAGACCACUUUGAGUAUGUGUGGGCAGGUCGCCCAUGAAAAUAGACCAGGGUAAGCGUGAGUGUAUGGGCUAGUCGCCCCUGAAAAUAGAUCACUUUGAGUAUGUGUGGGCAAGUCGCCUGUGAAAAUAGACCGUUUUUUCAAGAGGGCAGUCGCCCGUGAAAGCAAAGCAAUUUUCUUCAAAAGGGGAAGGUUGCCCAAAAUAAUGUGAUCGUUUUCCUUUUUCUUCUUUACAAAGCUUACAAUUUAAAACCUCUUGCGAGAUUUCGAUCGUAAGCAUUGUAAAGAGGGAGGCAACUGUCAUAACUUAUUUUUGGGUUAUUCCCCAAUUCAUAUUUUUUCUCUCUUCAAAAAAUACAAAAAAAUAAAAAAAAUUAUCAAAAAAAUAUAACAUUGAAAAGAGGAUGCCAGAACGCUUAGAAAAUGGUUAAAAAUUGGUUGAGAAGGUUUCAAAAUACAAAGAUUGAAAUUUGACGGUAUUUUGUUGACUGAUGAGAGUCUUGUUGACAAAGAAAAUUCAAUUUGAGGAAGAAAAGUCCAAAAAUUAGAUGUUUAUGGACUCAAUUAAAUUUUAGUGAAGGUUUAAUUGUAUUUAUGGAGGGUUUGAUUGCAAGAAAAAUUGAUUUUGAAGUCAAGAAAAGGGAGGAGAUGUGCCCCUUGGGUGGUGGAGGGGCGGCAGCACAAUAGCCGUCCCGGCCUCUCUCCCCCCUGUUUUUUGCCUAUAAAUACAGGGGAGACAAGGAGAGAAAAAAAAGGAGAAGAGAGAGAGCAGUGGAGGCUCUAAAGACCGAAGGAAAAAAAAAAGAGCUUAAGACUAAAAGAAAAAAGAAGGGGGAGAGGGCAGUAAAAAAAACAGUGAAGAAUAGAAGGAAAAAAUAGGAGAGAAGAGAGAAAGACCGCCGCCUGGAGCAGCCACCAUUUCACCGCCAGCAUCACCGUCACCAGCUAGCACCACUAUGAGCCUCCAUAGUAGCCACCACAGGUCAGUUCCCCCGGCUCUCUCUUCUUCCUUCUUCUCCUUUGUUGCCAGCCUCCACUGUUCACGUAGCAUGUGAAAAUUUGAGAGCCACUGUUCAUGGCUGGGCCAGAUUGGCCCAGCCCGAAUAGUUGUGCCCAGCCCUUAUAUUAGUUUGUAUUUUUAUACCGUAAAAAUACAAAUCUGGUAUUAAAAUACCCGGUUUUCAUCAAAACAUUAAAAAAAAAAAAAUUUGUUUUGUGCAUACGGCCAAGUGUCUUAAAGCUAAAAAAUCAUAUUGUGUUUUUCAUACACCAAAAAACAAUGUUUUAGUAUGUAUUUUGGCUUUAAUAACCAGUUUAUUAAAGUCAAGAGAACAUUGGCCAAAAUUGCAAAAAUUUCAAAAAAAAUAUUUUGUUUUGUUUAAGUAUCAGGGAUUACGAAUUUAUAUGUAAAAUGUAUUUUCGAUAUUAAAAAGGUAUUUCUUUUGACGACAUAAAACAAUUAUGUUUUUACCUGAUAAGAUAAGGAUCUCUUUACAGAGGAGGACUUUUCUUAAAUCAUAAACAGACCGACAAAUAGAAACCACAACAAGACGUUAGAUUUUAUCAGACAAUAAAACAAUGCAGCUUACCUUAGGUAGGGCGUAGUUGGGGUGCUAAUACCUUCCCUUUACACAACCAGUCUCCGUACCCGAUCUCUAAGACCAGUUAGGGUUCCUAGUGACCAGAAUACUAGGUGGCGACUCCCAUUCAAAUUUUUCACUGAUAAAAGACAAGAAUUUCUUGUCUCCCUAUAUUUGCCAGAUAGACCUUUAUAGUUUUCUUGAGGGUGGACGGUUCGCCACGACGCCGCACACGUGCGACAUUUUGGUCCUCCGACUCUUAUGGCUUUCUUUUUUUUAUUGCUUUGCUUGUUAAGUCUUCUUACGUUUUCUUCACACAUCUUCAAAUCAUCACCAUAAAAAAGUACGAGGAAGUAUAUAAAUUUAGGUUCCAAACAUGUCUUUUCUACUCCACGGAGGAGGAAAUCAGACCACCUUGAAUCUGUGAAAACCCUUAAAGGUUACGUUACAAGGAGAAUGAAGAAUAUCGAAUACAUGAAACGCAAAAAUAAGAGAGAAUAAUCUAAAAUUUAUCAAAGAAUCAUCUCAAUUUAAUAACUUAAAUUUUUAGAUGAGGUUUUAAGAUAUGAUUUAUAUUAUUCUCUAACACAUUCCUUAAAUUAAAAUCCUUUGGAGUUGAAACUUGCACAAACUCACACUACAUUGUGCUUAAUUUUUAUCAAAUAAAUAGAGAUGAUAAAAUUUGAACUCAUGACCGCUUCGUCAUCAAAGUUUUGAUACCAUGUCAAAGAACAAUCUCAUUCCAAUAGCUUAAACUUUUAAGUGAGGUCUAAAGAUAUGAUUUAUAUUAUUCUUUAACAAAAAUGUAUUUUGUGAUUUUAUAUAAUACUUUAAUUUUUUAUAUUAAGAUGAUAUUUUUGAUACUCGAUUAGCUAGAGCCAUAUUUAAAUGUAUUAUUAUAAAGUAAUGUAAAAGUAUAUUUUGAUGUCAAUAAAAGCUUGUCAUCCUAACCCUAUUUUAUGUGUUAGCAUCCUAAAAAUGAGAGCAUAAUGCUGGCAGACGCAUCGAAAAUGAUUAACAAGCUGUUUCUAAAGAAGACAUGCAUGGUAGAAGCAAGCUCGUUAAAAAAGGUGGAUGGAGUCUGUUUGGCUUUCUUCAAAGCCACAGGAUAACUUAAUUUGCUCUAUGAUUUCAACAAGGCUUAAAAUAUUGGUAGAAGCAACGCUAGUCAAGUCACAUAUGCAGUUGUAGCAGUUACUGUGUAUGUGGCUUAGGCAAUACUCUUAUACAAAGCUAUAUAUAAAAUGCACUGCAUACUGCUCGAGGAAACUAUGUAGUAUAAAUUAACAUCUAUCCUUGAUAUAUAUCGCGCCGGCAAGGAAUAUAUAUAUCAUAAAAUCAAAACAGGCAAUACUAGAUUCAAACACAAAACUUUGAACUCAUCAAACCCUUAAAAAGUCAUCUCAAUUUAUUAUUCUCAAUUUAUUAUUCUCUAAUAUAUCUUUUGAAAUGAAAAUCUUUUAAACUUGAAAUUAACUUAAACAAGUUCAUACGACUUUAUGUUUAAUUUUUAUCAAAUAAACAGGGAUAAUAAAAUUUGAACUCAUGAUCACUUGGUCAUUAAAGCUUUCAUAUCAUAUCAAUAAACCAUUUCAACCUAAAAAUUUAAAUUGUUAGGUAAAGUUUUAAGACAUGAGUUACAUUAUUUUUUAACACAAAAUGAACUAAGGUGAAUAAUUAUGUCAUCCAAUUUAAUCCAACAUGCAUAAUAUUAUGAAUAUAUCCAAAAUGGAAAACACAACAAAAGAAUGUUCUCAAAUCUUGAAAAACCCUACUAUCAGACAAACACUAAUCAUGAUUUGCAAGAGAAGAAGAUCAAAUUAAAACCUUCUUCUUAAGUCCUAAAUAAUCAACUAAUUAAGAUAAUUAAUAAGCUGGAAGCUAUGGUCCCCCGAGUAGAAAAAUGAUGCACAUCGUAAAAAGAAAAAUGAAAUAAGAAGAAAGAAGGGAAAGAAGGGGGGAGAAAAGCUGUUACUUGAAUGUAUUAAGCGGCCCUUUCCUCUCCUAACCUCUCCAAUAUUAUUUUUCUUCCUUUUGGCUUGUAUAUGGUUUAAUUAAUACGAAAAUCAACUCAUGACCUCCAAGGGACAUAUACUUCUUGAUGCUAUAUAUAUAUAUAUAUAUAUAUAUAUAUACACAUCCUCUCUGCACAUAUAUACCUGGGCCUGAGGUGUCUGGAGAAGCAUGCCAAGUGUCGCGAACUCAUGCACAGCAUCGAUCCUUGUAAUCAAGAAGUGGUGCGUCCGCAGGAGCUUUCCGCAGUUUCUUCAAGUAAGCACGAACGGCUGUACUUAAGAGGUGUCUAACUCUCAGAAUUUAAAGGGUUGGCAGCUGGGUGAUCUAGGUUGAGUUGUUCCUUCGGUAGGAAGAGUUUUCAUGCCAGUUUGCACAUAGCUUUAAGAGGAUGCUUGGCAGUGUGGUAGUGGUUACUUUUUAAAUAACUUUUUGUGUCGAAAUGCAUGUCAAUGAUGUUUUUUUAUUUUUAAAAAAUUAUUUUUGACAUCAACACAUCAAAACGAUCCAAAACGUACCAACCAUAUUAAAUUUUAACAAAAAAAAAUUAAAAUUUUUUGGGAACGCGGUUUGCACCGCGUUCCCAAACAUGUUCUAAAGUCUGUAUGGAUUAUAAUAUAUAGUGAUUGUAAUUUAAAAUAUUUUUUGUUUAAAAAUGUAUCAAAAUAAUAUUUUUUUAUUUUUAAAAAUUAUUUUUGAUACUAUCAAAGAACCAUCUCAAUUUAAAAGCUUAAGCUAUUAGGUAAGAUCCUAAGAUAUGAUUUAUAUUAUUCUCUAACAGAUAUUAUCACAUUAAAACGAUCAGAAAAGAUAAAAAAUAAUAAUUUUUAAUAAAAAAAUAAAUUUAAAAAAAUACAAUACACACCACGUUUUCAAACAGUCAUUUAUCAUAGAAGUAUAGGAUUGUCGGUUUAUCCUCAGAAUGUGUGGGAGUGCUUCCAACGAAGAAAGGAAGCAUGAGGACUUGUGCCACCACCUUAACAGGAUCCAGUAACUUUCCAGCCUCUACAGCCUUUCGUGCCAAAUAAUAUGCUAUGUUUGAGCCAGAGCUCACCCCACGCACUAUUCAUCUGUUCUGGUAUCAAUACCAAGUCAGGGAGACUGCUUCAUUCACUAUAAGAUUUCACAGUUUUACCGACGGACCAAUUUCAUCGGUGUGUGAUUAGAAGUUCGUCGGUGAUUUUUUUACCGACGGAUUACGUCCGUUGGCUUUCCCUUCGUCGGUGAUUCCCCCUUCCGUCGCUAUAUCGGUCGGAAAAACAAAAAAAAUCAUUUGCCGAUGGUUUUACAGAUGGAAUUUGCGCGCCAAAAAAAAAGAUUCACACUUGAAAUAUACCGACGGAUUUUUAUUCUGUCGGUGAUAUUGUGAUUGACCGACGGAAACUAUCCGUCGGUAAAUCCGUCGGUGAGUGUAUGAAAUACCGACCGAAUAUAUCUGUCUGUAAAUUCGUCGGUACUGGUGGCAACUACUGUUAAAUGCCGACGGAUUAAUUCCGUCGGUAAGUCUGUCGGUGAGUGUUUAAAAUACCGACCGAAUUCAUCCGUCGGUAAAAUCCUUGGUAAUAGUUUUUUUCUUAAUUUCUUUUUAAAAAAUUAUUUAGGAUAUAUAAUAUAAAACUAUAUAAAUUAAUUGUAAUACAAACCAAUUAUGCAAAUAAAAUUUAUAUUAAACAUAAAAAAAAAAACAAAGUUAAAUAAUAUUCAUUACAAAAUGAAUAUGUUUCAAGAAAAAUAUUAAAUGAAGUUUUAAAGGUAAAUAAUGUUGAUUACAAAUUAAUAUAAAGGUGGAGCUGGAGGAGGAGGAGGAGAUCCUGGAGGAGGCUGGUGGUUAUACGGCCAAAAAAGAUUAGGCGCACAUGUUCCACUAUUUGCCAUGUUCAUAAUCAUUUCGCGAAGCUGUUCAUAAGCCGCUUUUUGUUGUUCAUAAGCCGCUUCAUACUCCGCUUUUUGUUGUGCUUGAGACGCUUUGAUUUGCUCAGACUCCGCUCUUUGUUCCGCUCUUUGUUGUGCAUGAGACGCUUUGAGUUGUGCGUACUCUGCUGAUAGGUUAUCGUAUUUCUCGGUGAGUUGAGCCGUGUGUUGCUGCAAGGCCACGAACUCCUUAGAUUGGGAGCUCGAUAUUGAUUGGGAGCUCCCAACGGUUGAAACACUACGGGUCGACCGCAAGUUGUCGGCCGUAGUGUUGGAGAGCCCGUAAACCCGAUUUUUAUCGGGUCCACCUGACGAGCCAACCUCCAUCCACAAAUCCGGAUCGAAUUCUGGAUGGGUCAAAAUAUCGUCCCCGUAUCUCUCCCUCAACCGAUUAUUAUAGGUCUCCUGAAAAUAAAAUAAAAGUAAUCAUCAUAUUCAAUACAAUAAACAUAAUAACUUACAAAAUAACUUACAAAAUAAAAUGGUUGAACAAACAUACCACGAAAUGCUGAGCACGGUUAUCAACGAACUGUUGCGCCCCCUUCUGGCGGUCUUGACUCUGCACGUGCAUCUCCACAAACAGCUCCAUCGGGCUCGGCUCACGUCCAAGAGACGCAGCCCAUAAUGAAAAAAGAUAUAUUAACAACAACUGAAUUUAACGAUAUAUUUCAUUUAAAUUAAUCUUACCAUCCGUUUCGCAUGUGCAGCAAACGGAACGGAGCCGCCAGUGUGCGUUGUCACCCCGCCAUGAAUUGGCCGAUUCCGGUUGCCAGCACCGGACUGUGAGCGUCGUGUGAACCACUCAGACGUCACGUGCUCAAGAUAGUGCGGCCAUAUAUCUUUCGGGAUGUAUAUCGGUUUGAAAUCCCUCCAAACCGCAACAUCGUUCCAGCCUUGGAAACCCCUAUCCCUCGCGGGUUUUUUUGCCUUUUUUUGUGCUUCAUACCAAAAAUCACGCAACCAAAACUUACAUUUCGAAACAAAAAUUUUUGUCUAAAAAAAAAUCUUGUAUUGUUUUCGAUCUUACCUAGUUGCCGCGUGAUUUUCCCACACCCUCCUCACAACAGUGUUAUGCUCACUGUCCCAGCAGAAUUUGUGCUGUGUAUAAAUAAACAAGUUUAAAUAAAAAUAAUAAUUUAUUUACAAUUAUAUUAAUAAGCUGAAAAUUAUAAAUUAAUACCAACCUCAAACCUGUUAAACCAUACAUUGAUUUGAGGCAUCCAUUCAGGAUGCUUGGAUAUCUGACUCCAUUGAAACAAUGGAAUCUCCAUCGAUGAUUUAAACGCCGAUGAUAUUACUCAGGCGGCUUCAAUGUUUGUGAACCUGAAAAUAAAUGAAAUAAAUUCAAUAGUGAUUACUUCAUAAAUUAUGUUGUAAUUUAAAAAAAAAACUAAAACCUUAACAAACUUACAUUGAAAGGUCGUCCUUCCACUGUGCCUCGUACUUGCGGGUAAAUUGAUUCCGCUGCGAAGGCACGCCGCCUCUGCGCUGUGAAGUACCGCUGGAAGAGGCAGCAUCGGUUGACGGCGCGGUGGUGUAGGUGCCUCUUCUUGAGAGGCACCUAAGGAAAUAUCAUUCUCGCUGCUAGACGAACUAGCUGCGACCGUACUUGAGCGACCAGCUCUGGUUUUCGUUCUACGCAUCUACACAAUUUGAUACAAAUAAUUAUAUAAUUAAAUUCAAAUGUAAAAAAAAAAUUCGACAACACCUCCCCUAUACCGGAUACUACCCAAAUCCACAAACCUGCACAUAUUAACAAUAGCCACAACCAAUUUACCCAAUCUAUACUAAUUAUUCUAACAUAUUCAAUUACUAAUCCUAAGGUAAAUUCAAUAUUAAGAAUUACAAUUCAAGUAAUUAUUCAAUAAUUAUGCCAAUACAACGAAACAAUAAAUUAAAAAAAAAACUCUAGAAUAACAAUCAAAAUAAAUGGAAAAAAUUAAACACAAAGCAUGCAAUAAUAGAGUAAAACUAAUAAUUAUUCCAACAUAUUCAAUUACUAAUUCUAAGGUAAAUUCAACAUUAAGAAUUACAAUUCAACAAAUUAUUCAAUUAUUAUGCCAAUACAACAAAACAAUAAAUUAAAAAAAAAAAACUCUAGAAUAACAAUCAAAAUAAAUGGAAAAAAUUAAACACAAAUCAUGCAAUAAUAAAGUAAAAUUAAUAAUUAUUCCAACAUAUUCAAUUACUAAUUCUAUGGUAAAUUCAACAUUAACAAUAAAUAUUCAACAAAUUAACUAAUAAUAAUUAUGCCAAUACAACAAUAAAAAAUAUUCAAUAAAUUCAAAAAAAAACUAUAGACUUUAGCAAUGAAUUAUGCGAAAAAAACUAUAAACUUUAUCUACAUUACAAAAAAUACACCAAAACAAAAAAAAUAACCAAAAAAAUAGCAAAAAAAAAACCAUUAAAGUAAAAUGAAAUAGAGGAAACACUAACCUUUUAAACUGAUGGAGAUUCACGAUAAAAAAAGCUUGAGAUCGCCUGAAGAACGGAGAGGAAAAGAAUGGUGAAAAACUAAGGAGAAGAGAAAAUGAACUGAAGAGGCGGUCGGAGGAGGUUAAAUGCCAAUUUUACCGACGGAUUCACCGACGUCUAUAAAAUUAAUUAUUAUUUUAAUUUAUUCCGUCGGUGAGGUGUUAAAAAUCCAUCGGUAAAUUAUGAAUUUCGCACCAAAUUUUUUAAUGGCCCUCCAUAUUUUUCGCAGUCUGUCGGUAAAUCCGUCGGCAAUCUGACGCGGUCAGAGAUGCAUUUAAUGCACAACCCUUUGAUAUUCGCGCAGUCCGUCGGGAAUUGUGUCGGUAAAAUUGACAACGUACCGAAGGUUAUAUAUUCGUCGGUGUGGCCGUCGGUGAUGUGGUGGCAUUACCAGUAAUUAUUUUUGAACUCUCUGUGAAAUGCCAAUGAACUUACGUCCGUCGGUGUGGCCGUCGGUGAUGUGGUGGCAUUUCAAGUAAUUAUUUUCGAACUCUCUGUGAAAUGCCGACGGAAUUAAGUCCGUCGGUGUGGCCGUCGGUGAUGUGGUGGCAUUUCAAGUAAUUAUUUUCAAACUCUCUGUGAAAUGCCGACGGAAUUAAGUCCGUCGGUGUGGCCGUCGGUGAUGUGGUGGCAUUUCAAGUAAUUAUUUCAUGUCACAAAAUAUAUCAUUCAUGAUCAAUAAUUAUUUCAAGUAAUUAUUUCGUAAUUGUGGCAUUUCAACUAAUUAUUUCAAGUAAUAAAUAUUUUGUGUUUCAAAAUAUAUCAUCCAUAAUCUAAAUUACAUGAAAAAAAAGGGGUUUUACAUAGGGCUUCAUUUUGGUAGUUAGUCAGAAUUUUCUUCUUCUUCGUCAUCAAUUGAAUUGUCAUUACCUUCAUCGCAAUCUUCAAUAUGAAUAUCAUCUUCUUCAUCGACAUUUGCUUGUCCGCAAGAGCUCAAAACAAAAUUCAACUCCUCUGCGUCAACAUCAACAAGACUAUCAUCGAAAACACAAAAAUUUGAAUUUUCUUCCAAUUCAAUCGAAGGAGCAACUCGAUAUGGUUCAACCACCUCACUAACUUGAAAGACUUCAUCUCGCACACUUGUGUCUUCGUUCUCAUCCUGAACAACCUCGACACGACCCCGGGGUUUCGUUUUUAAAACGGACAACCAAUCCACUCUUGAUCGAUCCUUUCUAAAUGAAGGGGUGUAUGUGUAAUAAACUUGUUGACAUUGCUUUGCGAAAACAAAGACAUCAUUUAUGUUGCGGAGUCUAGCUUUUGAGUUGAUUUCGACCAGACCAUAGUGCGGAUCAACUCUAAUUCCUCUGUUAGUCGUGUCAUACUAAUAGCAUUUGAAUAAAAACACUAUAUUCUGCUCGUUAUGAUAUUGCAGUUCGACGACCUCUUCUAAUCUACCAUAGUAGUCAACUUCUAACUCACUACUAGUGGAUCCCUUAACACAAACACCGUUGUUGUAUGUCUUUCUUCCUUGCCCGUAUUCUUCAGUAUGGAAAACAUAUCCAUUGAUAAAAUACCCGUUGUAGCACUUACAUUUUCUUUCAAGCCCCAGGCUUAGUGAAGACAAUGACUUAGGUGCACUCCUUCCCAUUUGAUAAACCUUGUAUGUAAUGUACAUCAAUAAACAGUAAAUGAACGAGAAUCUCGCAAUGACAUGCAUACGUACAGUAAUUUUGCAAGUUAGAAUGAGUUUGUGAUAGUCUUUACAUGUGUUCUGAACCACGUGACAAACUGCUCAUCUUGUAAUUGAAAGAUCUGGGAUUCGGUCAGCUGUGAGUUAUUGGAGAACAAAUAUUGACGAUGUUGCCUGCAAAUGAUAAUGAGUGUAUGAUAUUACAAUAUAUAAUUAACAGUAUAUUACUAACAAAGUUUAAUUAGUACAAACUUACUGAAUAAAAGGUCUCAGCUCAUCACAGUUAAAUAGAACAUAGUUGUGUGCUUGUUUGAACUCUAUUUCCGACAAAUAUCUUCCUCUUACGGCAUUUUUAGGUGUGGGUCGUCCAGUAUUGGAGAAUAUUGACAAGUUCCCACUAGAAGGCACUUCACCGCCAUCAUCAUGCCGUGGAACGCGAUUGAUUCUCGUUCUCAGAUGAGGUUCGAAAUAGUACGAGAUAAAUGUUGAGAUCUCCUCAACAAUAUAGGCCUCACAUAUCGAAGCCUCAACAUGCGCCUUGUUCUUAACCUUUUUCUUGAGAUUAAACAAGUACCUGCAUUGAAAUAUUAAUCAAGUAUUUUCAAUUAAGAAAAACAUAUAAAAUACUUUUAUAUAUGAAUUACAUUGCAACUGUAAUAUCUAACCGUUCGAAUGGGUACAUCCAUCUAUAUUGGACCGGACCUCCAGCUUUUGCCUCGAAUGGUAGAUGUAUAGGGAGAUGCUCCAUUGAGUCAAAAAAUGAUGGAGGGAAUAUCAUCUCAAGUUUGCAUAGUGUCUCGACGAUAUUUGUUUGAAGCCUCUCAAUGUGAUCAACAUUCAACUUGCUGGAGCAUAUAUCUCUGAAGAAAUGACUGAUCUCCGUGAGUGCAUCCCAUAUUCCCUUUGGCAACAAAUCACGAAAAGCUAAUGGGAUGAGUGUUUGCAUAAACACGUGGCAGUCAUGACUCUUCAUUCCAUACAAUCUGCAGUCCUCUAUAUUAACCAGCCUUGAUAUGUUCGAUGCAUGUCCAUCCAAAAAACGCAGACUCUUAAGCCAUUUGUAGACCAGCAGUUGUGCGUUUUUCUCUAACACGAAGCUUGCUCUUAGCUUUGCGACCCGUGACUCAUCAUAAACCAACUCCAUAUUUUUACGGUUACAGUAUAAAGCUAUAUCCAAUCUAGCAUUGAUGUUGUCCUUUGUCUUCCCCUUCACAUCCAUGACGGUGUUGAAAAUGUUCUCAUACAUGUUCUUUUUUAUGUGCAUGAUGUCAAGGUUAUGGCGGAGCAGAUUGGUCUUCCAAUAAGGAAGCUCCAAAAAGAUACUUCGCUUUACCCAAUUAUGGGUCAAACCAAAACCAGGAAACUUUUGCUUACCUGAUUGAAGGCCAAACACAAUGUCACCGUACUCUGAGACAACAUCAUGCAAUUCUUCACCAUAAAGACGCGGGGAUGCAACAUCUUUUUCAACUCUGCCAACAAAGAAAUCUUUUCUGUUCUUUCUAUACCUGUGAUGAAGUGGCAAAAAGCGACGGUGACAGUCAAAAAAAGAAGCUUUACCUCCAUUUGCUAGCGUGAAUGCCUUGUUGUUUUCCAUGCAGUAUGGACAUGCGAGUUUCCCAUGCGUGCUCCAACCAGAAAGCAUUCCAUAAGCUGGAAAAUCAUUGAUAGUCCACAUCAAAGCCACCCUCAUAAGGAAAUUUUGUUUCCUCGAUAUAUCAUAAGUCAGAGCUCCGGAGGACCAGAACUGCGUCAACUCAUCAAUCAACGGUCGAAGACAAACAUCUAUAUUCCGCCCCGGGCUUCUUGGACCAGGUAUGACAGUAGAUAAAAACAUGAACUCCGGCCUCAUACACAUUCCCGGUGGCAAGUUAUAAACUGUGAGUAUGACCGGCCAACAAGAAUAAGGAGCAGCAGAUGACCCAAAUGGGUUGAAUCCGUCUGUACACAACCCAAGACGCACAUUCCUUGAUUCAGCUGAAAAGUGAGGAUGAACACUAUUAAAGCGUUUCCACGCUUCACCAUCAGAAGAAUGAACCAUCACUCCAUCAACCGCAUGGUGUGCUUGGUGCCAUGUCAUGUGCUCAGCAGUCCUUGGUGACAUGAAUAACCUCUGCAGUCUAGGUGUGGUCGGGAAGUAUCUAAGUUUUUUAUAUGCCACUAGAGUCUUUCCCCUGCCAGUUCUAGGUUUGUAACGGGAAUGCCCGCAUGUCAUGCACUCGGUCAUCUCAACAUUUUCAAGGUAGUAUAACAUGCAGAAGUUAGGGCACAUGUCAAUUUUUUGGUAUCCUAAACCGAGGGGUUUCAUCAUGGACUUCGCAGCAUAGAAGUUCUCUUUCAGCCUAUUCCCUUCAGGUAAAAUCCUUCUUGCCCAUUCAAUAAUUUUGUCAUACCCGGCCUCACUCAACCCGUGAUCUGACUUGAUGGUGAACACCUAUGCUACGGCCGAUAAUUUACUGUGGUUCGUGCAGCCAUCCCAUAAUGGUUCGUCAGAAUCUUUCAACAAAUCAAAAAACCUAGUUGCAUCUGCAUUAGGUUCUUCUUCUACGAUUGGACAUUGACUACCAUUACCUUGAUUCAUUCUCAUUGCAUCCAUAACCAUAUUUCUGUAAGGAUUAGUGUUGUCAUUUGCCGCUUCAUGCACGUUGCUAGCACUAGAAGUAGACCCAACCACCGUUUCUUCCAUUCUCCUCUUACUACCAAAUACUUCUCCAUGUGCAUACCAACACUGGUAAUUCUCCAUAAACCCUUUGUGUAGAAGAUGCAUCAUUACAACAUCUGGAUGCAGAUACUUUUUAUUUUCACACUUCCUGCAUGGACACCUAAUACCACCUCCAGUAAAAUUUCUGGGAAUAGAUGUUGUGAAAUUAAUAAAACCCUGAACCCCAUUACAAUAAUCCAUCCUCCGCAAUCCUUGGGGUGAAUCUCGAUACAUCCAUGAACGAUCAUCCAUGACUUAUAUCGAACCUCUAUAAAAUUAUGAUGACAUCAUGUAUUAAUUAACUAAGUUAGGUAAAUAAACUUGCAAAAAUAUUACUUUACCUCGAGAUUAUCCAACAAACCAAUCACAACUUCUCAUAAAUAUUAAAUAUUCAUUAUCAUUUAUCAACGUCCAUACGAGUUAAAAUAUAUAAAUUUACAAAAAUUACCACUCCGCAAUACCAUUGAUAAAACUUUAAACGGACCUAUUAAGCAAGCUAUUAAUUAUUUCAAAAUAGCACAUGUAAUUCGGUAGUUCCAUAAAGUUUUAACAAUUUACAAACAGAUACAAUCUUACAAAAUCUAAAACAAACCAUAAAAGGUAUAAAAUUAUACAUUCAUAUACUACAAGUUUGUUUGAGAAAUAACAAUAAAACAUGUACAUCUACUAACAAAAUACAUAUACUUAAAAAACAAUAAAAUUGACAUUUAAUUAAAUGUUAAAAUUUAAAAAGAUAGAAUUACUUACAAAAAUUGAUAAAAUCUGUCGGUAAAUCAGAACAUGGAUGCUGUGACCACAAAACUUCAAGAAAUAUAAUUUGUUGUGCUGAUAUGAGGAAGAUUUUUUUUGGGGGGGAGGGGGGGCUGGUUGUUUGCAGAUGGGGAGAGUUGGGAUUAGGAAGAAGAAGGAGAAAUAGGGGAGGAGAGGGUCAGCAGAGCUGACAUAUAUUAACUUUUUCCGACGGUUUCACCAACGGAAACUCCGUCAGUGAUUACGUCGGUGAUUCUGACGGAAAUAUAGACACAUCACCGUACGGAUAUGCCAUUUCAAAUCCCUCGGUGAGUCCGUCGGCAAUUUAAACGGCGAACCGGUCACGUCACUAUUCGGGCUGUCGUUUUGAAUCCGUCGGAAAAAAAAUAACCCGCCAAAACCUCCACGUCAGCGACCCGCCUUUUUUUUAAUUCGGAAACUUUUCCGUCUGUAAUUUAGUCGGUAACUACCGACGGAAAUUUUCCAUCGGUAGUUACCGACUGAAUUACGGACGGAAAAUGGUCUGUCGGUAGUUACCGACUGAAUUACAGACAGAAAAGUGUCCGUCGGUAAUUUCGACCUCAAAUUACCGACAGACAUAUUCCGUCGGUAAAUCCGUUGGUAUUUAACGAAUUUCUGUUAGUGAUUAAAACGGAUGGAAAAGAAAGUCAUGGAAAUGUCACCAAAAUGAACAUAUAUGUGUGUGUGUGUGUGUGUGUGUGUGUAUUGAUGCAAACUGAAGGGAUUUUGAGCAUUACGAUGAUGGUCAAACAUAAUUAGAUGAGAAUCUAACCUAAACAUACUAUAUAUAAUGUAUAGAUGACCUAACAAAUAGUUUAUAAAUAAGUGAAAUAGGUUUAAUUAGGUUCAAAAAGAAAUCCAAGCACGCUAAAAUUAAGUUAAUAUCUUAAAAUAAAAAUAUGAGAUAUUCAGUUUAGUCGUUAGAUCAAACUCAACUCUAAUAAUUAAAUGAGAAUCUUAUCUAAACAUAUUAUAUGAAUAACUUAGCAGAUGUUUUAUGGAUGAGUAAAAUUGAUCUAGUUAAAUUUUAAAAAAGAUUUAAUCAUGCUAAAUUAAGUUAGUAGUUUAAAAUAAAGAUAUAAGAUAUCCAAUUAUUGGAUCGAGCUUAACAUCAAUAUUAUUUUUAAAUUUUUUUAUUUAAAACAAGACAUUAAAAAAAUAUAAAGUAAUGUAGUUUUGGGAUUCAUUAAUCCACCGAUUGACUUGUGACAAGUAUAAUAUCAUUUUAAAACUUAUUUCAAUCUUCAUAUUUUUUAAAAAAACAUUAUGACAGAUUAAAUUUGUAAAACUUAUAUUUUUAAUACAUGGAUAGGUUGUUUUUCAAGCAUGUAAAACCCGUGUAAGACUUGGCCGAUUCAACUCCAAUAAAUUUUUUUAAUUUUUUAUUCAAAACAACGUCUUUAAAAAAUAUGAAAAGGUAUGGUUUUAAAAUAGUGACCCAUCAGUCCCGAAUUGACAAAGAAACCUGUGAAAAAUAUAAUAACCAUCUUAAAACUUAUAUCAAUCUUUUUAUUUUUGGGUGGAUAGCGUGGACUUUCACAUUUUGGGUGGAUGGAAGGAAUGAUAAGCAUAUAUAUGUUAAUACAAAGAACCGAAUUUCAGGACAUAAUCUUCAAACUUUCAGUAUAGUACUCCACGGUUUUAAUUAUAUUGGUCCAGCACAAGUUCUUGACAAGGAGUACAAAGGAAUUCUAGCAGAAGAAUAAGAGGAGCAGGUAAGAGACCAAUUCAAACAAUAUUUUUAAUUUCCCAUGCCUUGAGACAUGGCUGACAUACUGUAUUCAAACAUUUUAUAAAUAUAUUGCCUAUCGUAAUGAAAAAGACCUCAUCUCUACCACAUAUAUAUUUAAUUAUUUUACGAAAUUAGGAGACGAGAUAUAUUAAGUUGUGGCUUCGAUAUAAGUGGGGCGACUCUAUCGAUCCAAAUAUGUGAGGAUAUAAAUUAUAGAAUGUUUCCUAUUAAACGAGUGAUCAUAUAUAUAUAUUUCUAGAUUAGUGAUGAGGGUAUCUAUCUCUUAUUCUUUAUACAUCAAAGACUAAUAUGGCAUGAUUAAAAAGUUGUUUCUUAUAGAUAAUUUAUGAUAAAAAUGAGUUAAAAGGACUUUAAAUUAUAAAUAUGUUUGAUAAAAAAUGAUUUGAACCGAUUUUUUAAAAUUAAAAGAAAUGUAUAGUAUUUGUAAUCAAAAUCUACAAGUUAAAAACUAAAAACUUCAACUUUUGAUAAAAACAAAAUUCUGAUUUAAAUUAAAAUAAAUAUAUUUAUGACUUGUUUUAAAAAAAAUAAGAAGUUAAUAAACUACUUAAAUUAAUCAUAUAGAACAUGACCUAAAUAUUUACCUUGAUUGAAUCUUAAACAAGCCAUCAACACUGAAAUUUAUAUAUUCAUGGGAAACUUUUUCCUUCUUUUAGAAUUAAAGCCUUUUAUGCGCCAUGAGGUAGGGAACAAAUCAACUUACUUCCAAGCACGUACGCAUGGCCCACGAACCACAGUUGAUGGAUGGUUUUACUUAUGCCAUUUUCAUGGUAGGAAGCAGCUCUAUAUAAGAGCUUCGCAACGAAGGUAGAAUUCCAAAUACACAAUUGAUAACUACACACACUUUUGGGAAACGAAGAAGUUAAUAAGUAGCUGAAAUGAAGAUUGAAAUUGAAGUAAUCUCCAACGAGAUCAUCAAGCCAUCUUCUCCAACCCCAGAUCACCUUUGCCAUUACCAGCUCUCCUUUCUUGAUCAAAUCUCUCCCCCAACCUAUAACCCUUUGCUCCUCUUCUAUCCAGCAGACGGUGAUGUCAAGAUCAACAACAUAGAGAAACCGAACCAGCUCAAGCAAUCCUUGUCU
rnacentral:lncRNA from 1 species